AGAGUUUGAUCCUGGCUCAGAUUGAACGCUGGCGGCAUGCUUUACACAUGCAAGUCGAACGGUAACAGGUCUUCGGAUGCUGACGAGUGGCGAACGGGUGAGUAAUGCAUCGGAACGUGCCCAGUCGUGGGGGAUAACGCAGCGAAAGCUGUGCUAAUACCGCAUACGAUCUAUGGAUGAAAGCGGGGGAUCGCAAGACCUCGCGCGAUUGGAGCGGCCGAUGUCAGAUUAGCUAGUUGGUGGGGUAAAGGCCCACCAAGGCGACGAUCUGUAGCUGGUCUGAGAGGACGACCAGCCACACUGGGACUGAGACACGGCCCAGACUCCUACGGGAGGCAGCAGUGGGGAAUUUUGGACAAUGGGCGCAAGCCUGAUCCAGCAAUGCCGCGUGC
rnacentral:rRNA from 1 species